AGACGGUGACGUGGAGCGAAUCCCAAAAUAAACGUCCCAGUUCGGAUUGCAGCCCGCAACUCGGCUGCAUGAAGCCGGAAUCGCUAGUAAUCGCGGAUCAGAAUGCCGCGGUGAAUACGUUCCCGGGUCUUGUACACACCGCCCGUCACACCAUGGGAGUCGGGAAUGCCCGAAGUCGGUGACCUAACUGCAAAGGAGGAGCCGCCGAAGGCAGGCCCGGUAACUGGGGUGAAGUCGUAACAAGGUAAC
rnacentral:rRNA from 1 species